UACGAAGGGGGCUAGCGUUGCUCGGAAUCACUGGGCGUAAAGGGUGCGUAGGCGGGUCUUUAAGUCAGGGGUGAAAUCCUGGAGCUCAACUCCAGAACUGCCUUUGAUACUGAAGAUCUUGAGUUCGGGAGAGGUGAGUGGAACUGCGAGUGUAGAGGUGAAAUUCGUAGAUAUUCGCAAGAACACCCGUGGCGAAGGCGGCUCUCUGGUACGUGACUGACGCUGAGACGCGAAAGCGUGGGGAGCGAACAGG
rnacentral:rRNA from 1 species